GUUGUCGGUGUUUGAGGUGUUGGAGUUGUUGGCGGUGUUGGAGUUGUUGGAACUGUUUUAGGUGUUGGCUGUGUUGGUAGUGUUGGAGGUGUUGGAGUUGUUGGCGGUGUUGGAGGUGUUGGAGCUGUUUUAGGUGUUUGCAGUGUUGGAGAGGUUGGUGGUGUUGGCAGUGUUGGAGGUGUUGGAACUGUUUUAGGUGUUUGUGGUGUUGAUGGUGUUGGCGGUGUUGGAGGUGUUGGAACUGUUUUAAGUGUUGGCAGUGUUAGAGGUGUUGGCGGUGUUGGAACUGUUUUAGGUGUUGGGGGUGUUGGCAGUGUUGGCGGUGUUGGUGGUGUUGGCAGUGUUGGUUGUGUUGGCAGUGUUGGUUGUGUUGGAGGUGUUGGCUGUGUUGGCGGUGUUGGAACUGUUUUAGGUGUUGGCGUGUUGGUGGUGUUGGCAGUGUUGGCUGUGUUGGAGGUGUUUUAGGUGUUGGUAGUGUUGGUGGUGUUGGCAGUGUUGGUUGUGUUGGAACUGUUUUAGGUGUUGGCGGUGUUGGCGGUGUUGGAACUGUUUUAGGUGUUGGCAGUGUUGGAGGUGUUGGCGGUGUUGGCAAUGUUGAAGCUGUUUUAGGUGUUGGCAGUGUUGGUGGUGUUGGCAGUGUUGGUUGUGUUGGAGGUGAUUUCUGUGUUGGCGGUGUUGGAUGUGUUGGGGAUGUUUUAGGUGUUAGCGGUGUUGGAGUUGUUGGAGGUGUUGGAGCUGUUUUAGGUGUUGGCAGUGUUGGAGGUGUUUUAGGUGUUGGCGGUGUUGGAGAU
ensembl:lncRNA